rnacentral:lncRNA from 1 species
GGGCUCCAGGAGAUGGGGGCCGAAUGACAACCAUGGCGCUUAGUCGACCUCCUCCAUCUUGCUCUCGCCGGCGUCGUCCUCCAGCGGCGGCAUGUCGGCGUCAGCCUCAGCAGACUCGUCCUCGUCGAUGCUCAGGCCGAGCUUGAGCAUCCGGUGGAUCCUGGUGCCGAAGGUGUUGGGGUCCUCAAGGCUGAAGCCGGAGGUCAGGAGGGCAGUCUCGAAGAGCAGCAUCACCAGGUCCUUCACAGACUUGUCGUUCUUGUCAGCAUCGGCACGCUUGCGGAGCUCGUCCAUGAUGGAAUUCUCCGGGUUGAUCUCCAUGGUCUUCUUGCUCGACAUGUAGCCGGCCAUGCUGGAGUCCCUCAGAGCCUGGGCCUUCAUGAUCCUCUCCAUGUUAGCAGUCCAGCCAUACUCCCCAGUGACUAGACAGCAGGGAGAGUCCACCACACGGUCAGAGACAACAACCUUCUCCACCUUGUCACCGAGCACCUCCUUGAUCACCUUGCACAGACCCUCGAACUUCUCCUUGAGUUCCUCCUGCCGCUUCUUCUCGUCCUCACUCU